rnacentral:rRNA from 1 species
AUUGAACGCUGGCGGCAGGCCUAACACAUGCAAGUCGAGCGGAUGAAGGGAGCUUGCUCCUGGAUUCAGCGGCGGACGGGUGAGUAAUGCCUAGGAAUCUGCCUGGUAGUGGGGGAUAACGUCCGGAAACGGGCGCUAAUACCGCAUACGUCCUGCGGGAGAAAGUGGGGGAUCUUCGGACCUCACGCUAUCAGAUGAGCCUAGGUCGGAUUAGCUAGUUGGUGGGGUAAAGGCCUACCAAGCCGACGAUCCGUAACUGGUCUGAGAGGAUGAUCAGUCACACUGGAACUGGGACACGGUCCAGACUCCUACGGGAGGCAGCAGUGGGGAAUAUUGGACAAUGGGCGAAAGCCUGAUCCAGCCAUGCCGCGUGUGUGAAGAAGGUCUUCGGAUUGUAAAGCACUUUAAGUUGGGAGGAAGGGCAGUAAGUUAAUACCUUGCUGUUUUGACGGUACCAACAGAAUAAGCACCGGCUAACUUCGUG